rnacentral:rRNA from 1 species
AUACGUAGGUGGCAAGCGUUGUCCGGAUUUAUUGGGCGUAAAGCGAGCGCAGGCGGUUUUUUAAGUCUGAUGUGAAAGCCUCCGGCUUAACCGGAGAAGUGCAUCGGAAACUGGGAGACCUGAGUGCAGAAGAGGACAGUGGAACUCCAUGUGUAGCGGUGGAAUGCGUAGAUAUAUGGAAGAACACCAGUGGCGAAGGCGGCUGUCUAGUCUGUAACUGACGCUGAGGCUCGAAAGCAUGGGUAGC